GACGAACGCUGGCGGCGUGCUUAACACAUGCAAGUCGAACGAUGAACCUCGAAAUGACAUCUUCGGAAGGAUUUUUGAGAGGAUUAGUGGCGAACGGGUGAGUAACGCGUGAGCAACCUGCCUUAGACAAGGGGAUAGCCUCGGGAAACCGUGAUUAAUACCCUAUGAGACUCCACUUACGAGUGUAAGAGAAGUUAAAGCUAUUGCGGUCUAAGAUGGGCUCGCGUCUGAUUAGCUAGUUGGUGAGAUAAAAGCCCACCAAGGCGACGAUCAGUAACCGGCUUGAGAGAGUUAACGGUCACAUUGGAACUGAGACACGGUCCAAACUCCUACGGGAGGCAGCAGUGGGGAAUAUUGCACAAUGGGGGGGGAACCCUGAUGCAGCGACGCCGCGUGAGCGAUGAAGGAAUUCGUUUCGUAAAGCUCUGUCCUUGGAGAAGAUAAUGACGGUAACCAAGGAGGAAGCACCGGCUAAAUACGUG
rnacentral:rRNA from 1 species